ensembl:lncRNA
AAUGCCUAGAAUAUUUAGAAUUCUCUGUAAAUGUAUCAAGCCAUCUGCUAUAGAUCAAAAAAAGAGAUCACGUGGAUUGAUUUGUUUUUUCAAAUAUUUUCAGGUUAGAAUUCCACAUUCCUGGAGAGAAGAGAGGAUGAGUUGAGAUUCUCACUGAACUUAACAGUAAGAAUCUUUUACACUGAUGGAUUGAUCUUGGUUCUGUAUGCAUUGGCACUGGCACGGAACGGGAGAGGGGACAUGGGGUAGCAAUGCUGUUAAGUAGACACCUGGAGGUAUAGGCUUUUUUUUUUUUUUUUAAUUCAAACGGCUGCUUUGCUCAGCCCUGCUAACAGGAUUGCUCUGUGCAGUCCUCUGUGCACAGCUGCCCUCUCCUGGAGGGAAUGACAAUGUGCCCAAAGCAAUCUGAACUGAAAUUAACCUACCCACCGGUUCAUUAAGCUCUCACCAAAUAUUUAUGUCUAUCUCAGGUACCUGUUGAGCUUUAGGGAUACAGAGAUCUGGAAAAAAAAAAAAAUUGCCUGCCCUCAAAUAGCUCACAGAAAAUGGGGAGAAAACAAGAAAAUCAGUAGUUGUAUUCUAGUGCUACAUACCGGAAUAGGGGUGAGCAUAGAUAGUACUAAAUUGCAGAGAAAAUAUUUUUAUAGUCCACUUUUUAAAAAAGAGUUAUUUAUUUAUUUAUUUGAAAGUCAGAGUUACACAGAGAGAGAAGGAGAGGCAGAGAAAGAGAGAGGUCUCCCAUCCGCUGGUUCACUCCCCAAUUGGCCCCAAUGGCUGGAGCUGCGCCAAUCCACCGCCAGGAGCCAGGAGCUUCUUCCAGGCCUCCCACAUGGGUGCCGGGGCCCAAGGACCUGGGCCAUCUUCUACUACCAUCCCAGGCCAUAGCAGAGAGUUGGAUUGGAAGAGGAGCAGCUGGGACUAGAACCUGUGCCCAAAUGGGAUGCUGGCACCUCAGGCCAGACCUUUACCCACUAGGCCACAGCGCAGACCCUUUAUAGUCUACUUUGACUUACUAAUUGGUCUGACUCCUCUUUGAGACCUCACCUGACAAAAAUACCAAGGAACUCAGUAUCUGCUCUGCAUAUAAGCUACAGACAAGCAGAUAAACAAUGCACAAGCUUACUUUAAAAAUUAUUUGUUGUAUUCAUUAAUUUGUUUAUUGCUAAUUCUAGCAGCCCUAUUUGUAGCUCCUAACUUUGAACUGUCCAGGACCUGCAGGUCAACUUAGGAAUUGCCAUUUAUAUGGAUUUAAAUCAAUCAUAUUUGUUGAGCAGCAUUUUUUACUUUUAUUUAUUUCAGAAGCAGGGAGACAGAGAGCUCCCAUCUUCUGGUUCACUCCCCAAAUGCCUGAAACAGUGGGGUGGGCCUGGAGUUGAAGCUGGUUUCCCACGUGGGUGGCAGGGACCUAUGCAUUGAACCAUCAAUACUGCUUCUCAGGGGCUUCACCAGCAGGAAGCCGGAAUCAGGAGCAAAGCUGGGACCUGAACCCAGGCACCCAGUAUGAGGGGUAAGCAUCCCAAGGGCCAUUUUAACUGCUAUACUACAAGCCCAGCCCUGAAAAUUCUAUUUUGAAGUGCCAUAUUUAAAAUUAGGAUACAGGGGUUGGCACUGUGGUGUAGCAGGUAAAGCCGCCGCCAGCAGGGCCCGCAUCCUAUAUGGGCAUCAGUUCCAUCUCAGCUGCUCCACUUCCGAUCCAGCUCCCUGCUAUGGCCUGGGAGAGCAGUAGAAGAUGGCCCAAGUCCUUGGGCCCUUGCACCCAUGUGGGAGACCCGGAGGAGGCUCCUAGCUCCUUCCUGCCAUUGUGGUCAUCUAGGGAGUGAACAAACAGAUGGAAGACCUCUCUCUCUCUCUCUCUCUCUCUCUCUCUCUGCCUCUGCCUCUCUGUAACUUUGCCUUUCAAAUAAGUUAAAUAAAUCUUUAAAAAUAUUAUGGGGCCA